AGGAUAGAGAAAGUGGAUGAGUCUCGGCACCGCGCAGCGGUGUCGAGGCUCCAUGCACGGGCCAUCCUGCUCCAGAUCAGGAAAGCUCUUAUUUGAGGUUGAGGCCUUUGGGGUGUAAUGUUUCUAAUUUUCUUAUCCAUGUCCUUUCAGCUCGGGUUCUCUGUGUGGCGUUCCAGCUGGGGUCCAUCUGGAUGAUCGUGGCCCGGACAGACGACCAUCCAUGGGCCAGAAAAUGGCUGACCAGAGGCGUGUGGGUUUCCCUCCGCCUCUGGAUGUUGUAGCGGUGUUGGGUGAACCGCUAGCGAUUGCUGGCUUGGAAUAGGUGGUGACGAAGGGGAGUACAUCCGACGUGUCUACUGGUUUUGUUUCCAGAAAGGUGCUGAGGGCCUUCCGCCGGAAGGAGCGUACAUAGCCCCUGGUGGCGAGAGCUCUGAAAAGCGUUUUUGUGGCCGCCAUGAAGUCGCUUUUGUGGGUGCAGAUACGGUGGAAACGGAGUAAUUGUGAUUUCAAUAGGCCCCUGUAUGUGUGUUUGGGGUGGUGGCUGGUUUUAUAAAGCAGGGCAUGGGUGUCUGUUUCUUUGAAGAAAACUUUAAUGUCUAAUUUGUUUGUAUGCUGGAAAUUGAUCCCCUUGUAGGUGGUGGUAUCCAGGAAGUCGACCGACGUGGUGCUAGUGGAGGACUUCAAUGUGAUGGACGGGUUGUGAUUAUUCAAGGCUGCCAGGGCGGAGGUCUCCCAUUCGGCCAUGAAGAUGUUGGCAUAUGCCGGUGCAAAUUUUUUGCCCAUGGCAGUGCCUUUAAUUUGUAAAUAAAAUUUAUUGUCAAAUUCAAAAUCAUUUCUCCUCAAGUUGAUUGCAAGGAGUUGUAAUAGUUCCUUAUCAGGUCUCUUUUUGUCUGGAAAUUUUGUAAAUAUGUUUUUUAUGGCCUGAAUGCCUUCAUCAAUAUCUAUAUUGGUGUAUAAACUGUCGACAUCCAUCGUGAACAGGAUGGAGUCGGGGGGGAUAUGGAGUUGUUUGACCGUAUUCACAAAGUGGUAGGUGUCCUUGAGAUAGCCAAAGUGUCUGUUAGAAAGUGGAUUGAUAUAAUAAUCAAUAAAUUGGGCCGUGUAGUAGGUCUCACUGUCACAAUCAGAGACAAUCGGCCUCCCAGGUGGGAUUUCAAAGGGGACACUCCACUUUGAGGGCUCUUUAUGAAUCUUGGGGAGCAGAUAAAACAGUCUGGGCCGGGGGAUCGGAUUACCCAGCAGGUAAGUGUAUUGUUUUUUGUUUAUGAAUUUUUUAUCUAAUAAUGAUUUGAUAAUUGGUUGCACCAUUUUUUUAGUUUCAGGGUAGAUAGGUUCCUUUAAGACAGAAUAGUACUUUUUGUCUGUUAGCUGUCUGUUGCCUUCAAAUAAAUAUUGUUCCCUGUCCAUCACCACUACUGCACUGCCUUUAUCUGCUGGUUUUAUGAUUAUAUUUUUGUUUUCUUUUAGUUCCUUGAGGGCUUCAAUUUCCUCCCGGUUCAAGUUGUUCCUGAUUGGGAUUGGCUGGAAAUUGUUUUCAAAAUAAUGAAUAUCCGCUUGGAUGAGGUCAGUGAUUUCUGGUGGCAAAUUAGACAGGGGGGGGCUCCAAUCAGAUUUUUGGGUAAAGGGGGUGAAAAUCACAUCUUUUUUGUUUUGAAAAUAAACAUGGAGUUUGAUUCUCCUGUGAUAUUGCUGCAGGUCCCAUCUGCUCUGCUCAAUAAUGUUGCUCUGGCUCCCCCUAGUGGGGAUGAAAGAGAGGCCCCUGUCCAGGAGUGUGAACUGGGCCUGGGUUAAUUUGAAUGUCUGUGAUAAUACCAGUACAUUUUUUGACCCCUCCUGAGAGUGCAGGCUUAUGGGGAUGAGCAUUUUAAAUACCCCGUCCAGUGGUCAAACAUGUGUUUGGCGGUGGCUUUUGUCCAGUGUAUGUUAUCUGCCCCAGUUUCAAAAGAUUUGGAGGGCAGUCUGGGGAUGAAGAGGCAGUUUUUUUGGAUAUGUGCGUUCAGGUGGACCAGGCAGGACUGCUCUUUGAGAGGUCUCCUGGUGUUGGGCAUAGGCACUGGGGUCGGCGCUGUCGGUCUAGGCCGCAGUGUGAGUCUGCUCUGGGUUGCUCUUCUAAGGCUCCUGACUUUAACCGGAGUGGACUGAGCGGUGGAGGCCUCAAACGGGCCUUUAUGGGGCUCUCCCAGCUCCCCGUCACCUGAGAGGCAGGUGAUGGAAUCUGGGCUGUGGACCACACACGGGUUUAAAGGAGCAACUGUCGGCGCCAGAGCGGCUGUUAGCGCUGGAGAGACUGCUGGCACUGGAGCGGCCAACUGCCCCGGAGCAGCCGCUGGCGCUGGAGCGGCAAGCUGUACCGGAGCAGCCUCCGGCACCGGAGCGUCCAGCU